rnacentral:rRNA from 1 species
GUCCAGGGUCAUGCCCACCCUGAACGAGCCCGAUCCCGUCUGACCUCGGAAGCUAAGCAGGGUCGGGCCUGGUUAGUACUUGGAUGGGAGACCACCUAGGAAGACCAGGUGCUGUAGGCA